UGAGCAACCUGCCCCUGGCACUGGGAUAACUCCGGGAAACCGGAGCUAAUACCGGAUACGAGACCGAAUGGCAUCACUACGGUCUGGAAAGAUUUAUCGGCCAGGGAUGGGCUCGCGGCCUAUCAGUUUGUUAGUGGGGUAACGGCCCACCAAGGCGACGACGGGUAGCCGGCCUGAGAGGGCGACCGGCCACACUGGGACUGAGACACGGCCCAGACUCCUACGGGAGGCA
rnacentral:rRNA from 1 species